rnacentral:rRNA from 1 species
AGUGAACGCUGGCGGUAGGCCUAACACAUGCAAGUCGAACGGCAGCACAGUAAGAUCGUGCGCUGACGGGGGGGGGGAGGGGGACGUGAGAGGAAUACAUCGUGAUCUAGUCUUUGGGGGGGGAUAACGUAGGGAAACUUACUAUAAGACCGCAGACGACCUACGGGUGAAAGGAGGGGAGCUUCUGGGCGGGCGGGAAUGGAUGAGCCGAUGUCGGGUUAGCUGGUUGGGGGGGUGAAGGCCCAGCAAGGCGACGAUCGGUGGCCGGUCUGCGAGGAUGGUCAGCCACACUGGAACGGAGACACGGUCCAGAGUCCUGCGAGAGGGACCAGUGGGGAACAGUGGACAAUGGGGGGAAGCAUGGUCCAGCCAUCCCGCGUCGGUGAAGACGGCCUUCGGGUUGUAAAGCCCUUUUGUUGGGAAAGAACCGCUGCCGCUUAAUACCACGCUGUUCUGACGGUACCCAAAGAAUAAGCACCGGCUAACUUCGUG